UACAGAGGUCUCAAGCGUUGUUCGGAUUCAUUGGGCGUAAAGGGUGCGUAGGUGGCGGGGUAAGUCAGGUGUGAAAUCUCGGGCUCAACCCCGAAACUGCACUUGAUACUGCCUUGCUCGAGUACUGGAGAGGAGAUUGGAAUUUACGGUGUAGCAGUGAAAUGCGUAGAUAUCGUAAGGAAGACCAGUGGCGAAGGCGAAUCUCUGGACAGUUACUGACACUGAGGCACGAAGGCCAGGGGAGCAAACGGG
rnacentral:rRNA from 1 species